UGUUCUUAUUUCGAAGGUUGUAUGUUUCCA
rnacentral:piRNA from 1 species